rnacentral:lncRNA from 1 species
UGGUGAAGGAAUGUCCCGGUUGUGAUCCCAUUCCAUGGUCUUCUUCUUCAUUUUGCGAGUCCGAGGAAAUGUCUUCCAUAUGCAUAGAAUUAUCUUCUGUAUUAAUAGGAUGAUCGUCAUCUUUCUCGUAAUCACUAAAAUCAUCGUCGACUAUCGGGCGCAGAGGUGGGGGUUCUGAUGAAUUUACCGGUCCUUCGAAGGACCUCUUAGCUACAUUUAUCCUUAACAUAUGCCUAAAGCAUCUGCAUCGACAUCCAUCAUGUACAUCAGCACACGUACAUCACUAUUUAUGAUCGUAGGAUUCACCUUUUCCCUCGAAUUCAUUAGAUAACUAAUCACCACGUUGUCCGACACGCAAUCUAGA